UAAUGUCAGUUUCAAUACUUACUUCGGACGUCCCAAGCUUCCAUUCAUCCCCUCCAUUUCCCUUUUAGAAACCAACAUGAACAUUAAAGUGUUCUUUAACUUCACAAUUAAUGGCUUUCGAAUAUUCCUUGCUUCUAAUCCACUCUUAUUAUUGCUGUUGGAGAAUACGAAAAAAUCAAUGGAGUUCAAAGGUCGGAUUUCAGAGGGCAACAUCAUAAAGAGGAUUUUUGCAAGUAAUAACUUUGCAAGGAAUUGUGUCAUUGUUCCAAAUCAAUAUCGACUCCAUAUAACACAAAGAAAUUAAGGUCUACAAGAGUGAUAUAGUUGAUUGGAUGUAUCCCAAAGCUUUGUACAAGUUGGUUUCCCUUCAAUCAAUAGAAGUCUGCAGUUACAAUGACACCAAACUUUUAGAUAUUUUGGGGAUUGUCGUACAUGCAGGUAAAGCUUUUGUUUGUAACGAUGACGCAACCCGUAUGCAAGAGGUUGUUGUUCUAGAUAGAAGCUGUGUUGCUGUUAGAUUGAUUCUUAUGAACCAAUUUGUUAGUGAAUAUGAACACGAGGUUCUACAAAGUGGUGGGCGGUACAACACAUUAUUGGCUUGUGGGGUGUAUGUUAGGAAAAUGAAUGCUUAUUUUCUAAUCACAGGAAGAUACACAAGGUUAUUUAUCAAUCCAGAUAAUGUAGAUGCAUCAACUCUAUUGGAUUGGUUUGUCUGUGAUUAUUUUGCCAAGAGGAAGAUGAAGUGGUUUAAUAAUUGUGGACUAUCAAUAAAUCGGGCAUUGUCAACUUCAAAUGCAUUUCGGACUACUAUAGCGAGCUACAAAUGAAAAAGAAAAGGAAAGCACUACAGAAUGGUUGGGAGAUUAAUUGAUAUCGAUGUUGAUAGUUUUGCAUGGUAUGAUGCUUGCACAUUUUGUGGACUUGAUAUACAACAUGUUAGUGAGCAUAUCAUUUGUAGUAAUUGUAACAAAGAAAAGCCUCCAACAACUAUUAGUGGUUCUGGAUAUAUGACUAUACUCGACUCCACCGGUACAAUGCGUGUCAAGCUCUUAACAAAAUAGAUUGAGUUUAUACUCCAUUCAACUAAAGCAAACUUGAAGCAAAUGUUUGAUGCGGUGCAUGAUAGAGUUUUGCUACGAUCCAAGCUUCUUACACUUAUGCGCAAUGCAUAUAUUUUCGUAUUUAAUCCUCUUCAUCUAUCGACUUAUAUAGUAGACUAUGUAACUUAUGCCGAGUGGGCAGAAAAAUGUGCAUAUUUGUUUAAGUAAUUACUAUAUCAUCUUUCAUUAGAUUUUCUUUGUUGAUGGCCAUAUUAAUAAUCUUUCUAUAUUUAAAUUUUUUAUCU